AGGGGGCUAUUGUGAAGAGGGAGAGAGAAUAUUUUCUAAAAUUCUCAGCCCCCGGUCCCCCUUUUAGAGGGAGAGAUUUUCCUUUUAUAGGGGGGUACAGGGUUACCUGUGAUGUGACGGGGCGAAUUAAAUGAGUUACCGUAAUGAUUGAGCACGAUCGUGUGAAUUAAUGCGCUGCCGUGGAGGGCUGGACUGGAGCCAAUGAGUUGCAGUGGGUGACUGGGCGUAGUCG
rnacentral:lncRNA from 1 species